GAAGCUUUACUGUAUCUUGGAAUUGGGUUUGGGCUUUGCUUGCGCAGGAUAGGUGGGAGGCUUUGAAGAUAUUCUUGCGGGAAUAUUGGAGCCAAUGGUGAGAUACCACUCUAGUAAGGCUAAAAUUCUAACUUCGAACCGUUAUCCGGUUGAGGAACAGUUUCAGGUGGGCAGUUUGACUGGGGCGGUCGCCUCCCAAAAGGUAACGGAGGCGUGCAAAGGUUCCCUCAGGAUGGUCGGACAUCAGUCGUAGAGUGCAAAGGCAUAAGGGAGCUUGACUGCGAGACCUACAAGUCGAGCAGAGACGAAAGUCGGCCUUAGUGAUCCGACGGUUCCGA
rnacentral:rRNA from 1 species